rnacentral:sRNA from 1 species
GUCGAUCGGUCUCCGCGCCAUCCGUCCCUCGAUGCGGCGAUCGGUUCCAGGCCAAGCCUUGAAAGGCGCGUCGUUCUUCGGGACGGCGCGUC